rnacentral:rRNA from 1 species
UAAUACGUAGGUGGCGAGCGUUGUCCGGAUUUACUGGGCGUAAAGCGCGCGUAGGUGGCUUCCUAAGUCUUGUCGUGAAAGGUCGCGGCCCAACUGCGACAGUGCGCAGGAUACUGGGGAGCUUGAGGGCAGCAGAGGUCGGUGGAAUUCCCGGUGGAGUGGUGAAAUGCGUAGAUAUCGGGAGGAACACCAGAGGCGAAGGCGGCCGACUGGGCUGUACCUGACGCUGAGGCGCGAAAGCGUGGGGAGCGAACCGGAUUAGAUACCCGGGUAGUCCACGCCCUAAACGGUGGCAACUAGGUGUGGGGGGUAUCGACCCCCUCCGUGCCGCAGCUAACGCGUUAAGUUGCCCGCCUGGGGACUACGGCCGCAAGGUUA